CCCCACAGCGCCAUUCCGCCCCACACCCCCCUCCCAUCCCCCCCCCGUUCUGCUCAGCGCUGUUGGCCGCCGCCCCACCGCCGCUCCGCUCCAACUCGGCCAAAGGUUCCUCCGCUCCCCCCCCGCCCCCGGGAGAGGCGGCUGUAGGGCCGUCUAUGGGGCGGCGGCGGGGUGCCGAUCCCAAAGCGGAACCUUAUGGGGGCGACGCCACCGCGCUGCGCUCCAUUUUAGGUCUGCGGUGGGGCUGAGGGGGAACGGCCCCAUAGAGCCGCUGUGUGGCCGUGUGGGGCUGUGGGGUCUGCGCGGGGCUAUGGGGCCCAUGUGGGGCUAUGGGAUCCCAGGGUCCACUCAGCGUUAUGGGGUCCCAUGUUCCAUGUGGGGCUGUGGGGUCUGUGUAGGGCUAUGGGGUCUGUGCAGGGCUAUGGGGUCUGUGUAGGGCUAUGGGAUCCCAGGGUCCACUCUGGGUUAUGGGAUCCCAUGUUCCGUGUGGGGCUAUGGGGUCUGUGUAGGGCUAUGGGGUUUGUGUAGGGCUAUGGGGCCCAUGUGGGGCUAUGGGGUCUGUGUAGGCUAUGGGGUCUGUGUAGGGCUAUGGGGUCUGUGCAGGGCUAUGGGAUCCCAGGGUCCACUCAGGGUUGUGGGAUCUCAUGUUCCAUGUGGGGCUGUGGGGUCUGUGUAGGCUAUGGGGUCUGUGUAGGCUAUGGGGUCUGUGUAGGGCUAUGGGGCCCAUGUGGGGCUAUGGGAUCCCAGGGUCCACUCAGGGUUAUGGGGUCCCAUGUUCCAUGUGGGGCUGUGGGGUCUGUGUAGGGCUAUGGGGUCUGUGUAGGCUAUGGGGUCUGUGUAGGGCUAUGGGGCCCAUGUGGGGCUAUGGGAUCCCAGGGUCCACUCAGGGUUAUGGGGUCCCAUGUUCCACGUGGGGCUGUGGGGUCUGUGUAGGGCUAUGGGGUCUGUGUAGGCUAUGGGGUCUGUGUAGGGUAUGGGGUCUGUGUAGGCUAUGGGGUCUGUGCAGGGCUAUGGGGUCUGUGUAGGGCUGUGGGGCCCAUGUGGGGCUAUGGGAUCCCAGGGUCCACUCAGGGUUAUGGGAUCCCAUGUUCCAUUUGGGGCUGUGGGGUGUGUGUGUGGUUAUGGGAUCUGUGCAGGGCUAUGGGAUCCCAGGGUCCACUCAGGGUUAUGGGGUCCCAUGUUCCAUGUGGGGCUGUGGGGUCUGUGCAGGGCUAUGGGGCCCAUGUGGGGCUAUGGGAUCCGAGUGUCCGUGCAGGGUUAUGGGGUCCAUGUGGGGCUAUGGGGUCUGUGUAGGGCUGUGGGGUGCAUGUGUGGCUAUGGGGUCUGUGUAGGGCUAUGGGGUCCGUGUGUGGUUAUGGGAUCCCCGAGUCCAUGCAGGGUUAUGGAAACCCAUGUUCCAUAUGGGGCUGUGGGGUCUGUGCAGGGCUAUGGGGUCUGUUUGAGGUUAUGGGAUCCUGGGGUCCAUGUGGGGCUACGGGGUCUGUAUGGGGCUAUGGGGUCUGCAUGGGGCUAUGGGGUCUGUAUGGGGCUAUGGGGUCUGCAUGGAGCUAUGGGGUCCAUGUGGGUCUAUGGGGUCUGUAUGGGACUAUGGGGUCUGCAUGGAGCUAUGGGGUCCAUGCGGGUCUAUGGGGUCUGUAUGGGGCUAUGGGGUCUGCAUGGGACUAUGGGGUCUGUAUGAGGCUAUGGAGUCCAUGCGGGGCUAUGGGGUCUAUAUGGGACUAUGGGGUCUGCAUGGGGCUAUGGAGUCCAUGCGGGGCUAUGGGGUCUAUAUGGGACUAUGGGGUCUGCAUGGGGCUAUGGGGUCGCUGUGUGGUUCCCCCCCUCUCCCUCAUGGGGCCGACCAUACGGGGCUGCUGCUCACUGUGGGGUGCAGAGCUGCAGGGACCGCUUCAGCGCCGACCCGGUGGGACCCCCUUUGUUUCUUAUAGGGUCUCACAGAGCGCUCUGUUUGUUGUUGUGGGGUCUCCGCUCUGUUUGUUGUGGGGUCUCCGCUCUGUUAUGGGGUCUCCGCUCUGUUAUGGGGUCUCCGCUCUGUUGUGGGGUCUCCGCUCUGUUUGUUGUGGGGUCUCCGCUCUGUUAUGGGGUCUCCACUCUGUUAUGGGGUCUCCGCUCUGUUAUGGGGUCUCCGCUCUGUUAUGGGGUUUCCAGGGCGGCAGUGUUUACCGCUCACCCUUCCCCUGCUGGGCUCACUGCCCUCAGCGGCACGUGGGGAAACGGAGGCGCUGCCGGGGGGGGCACAGCGCUCCCCCCCCCCAAACCCCCCCCGGCUGUAGGGCCGCCAAGUGGGGGAUGGGUGAUGGCCGCGAUCCUAUGGGGCGGGCUCAGCGCGGCGCUUCCCUUUGCCCCACAUACCCAAAUGGGGCCCUGAGGGCAGCGCAGCGUCCACUGCCCCCCCCCGCCCCCCAACUGCUCCC
rnacentral:lncRNA from 1 species